rnacentral:rRNA from 1 species
ACGGGGGGAGCAAGCGUUGUUCGGAUUUACUGGGCGUAAAGGGCGCGUAGGCGGUAGCACAAGUCAGUUGUGAAAUCUCCGGGCUUAACUCGGAAAGGUCAACUGAUACUGUGCGACUAGAGUGCAGAAGGGGCAACUGGAAUUCUCGGUGUAGCGGUGAAAUGCGUAGAUAUUCGCAAGAACACCAGCGGCGAAGGCGGCUGACUGGUCCGGAUCUGACGCUGAGGCGCGAAAGCGUGGGGAGCAAACAGGA